AUUUCUGCAGCGUCUUCUUGAAAUAUCUCGAGGAUACUGCUUGGCGGCGUGGUCUACAGUGCCCAUCUCUCUCUCAGAGUUAAGCUCAUCUUGGCUAAGCUGUCCGCAUAUCUAUUGCUUUCUCUAUAGCACAGUUAACCUUGCGCCUUCAAACGAAUGGUGAAAAAAGAGAGGGGGAAGAAAAAAAACUCAUUGCUGAUCAAAGCUUAGAACAACCACUAAUUGAGAAUUCUACUAAUGGCCGUAUAUUUUGAUUACAAGAGAUCUAUUCUAUAUGAAUGGUAUUGUAAUUAUUAUGGCAAGUGUUUAUUCAUAUGUUCUAAGGCUUUAGGAAUGUGAGUUCUCUCAUAUUUCGUACCGGUCACCCCUA